rnacentral:misc_RNA from 1 species
AACAAUAAGCUGUUCGUCCCCCCCGACGUCCAACUUUUUCAAACACACCUCCGUGUACCUCUCCCCUUUUGCUUCCCCGAGGCCGCCCACUCAGGCGCGCGCCCCGGGGGAGGUCAGGAGGCCUGGCCGCUCAGCGCGGCCGGGUCCCCGAAGCUCUUCCGCGUUCCGUCUGGAUGUCUGUCUGAACAAAAACUAAGAUACAAUCUUAAA